rnacentral:rRNA from 1 species
GACGAACGCUGGCGGCGUGCCUAAUACAUGCAAGUCGAACGCUGAAGAGAGGAGCUUGCUCUUCUUGGAUGGGUUGCGAACGGGUGAGUAACGCGUAGGUAACCUGCCUUGUAGCGGGGGAUAACUAUUGGAAACGAUAGCUAAUACCGCAUAACAAUGGAUGACACAUGUCAUUUAUUUGAAAGGGGCAAUUGCUCCACUACAAGAUGGACCUGCGUUGUAUUAGCUAGUAGGUGAGGUAAUGGCUCACCUAGGCGACGAUACAUAGCCGACCUGAGAGGGUUGUCCGACCAACUGGGAGUGAGACACGGCCCAGCCUCCUACAGGAGGCAGCCGUAGGGAAUCUUCGGCAAUGGGCGCAACCCUGACCGAGAAACGCCGCGUGAGUGAAGAAGGUUUUCGGAUCGUAAAGCUCUGUUGUAAGUCAAGAACGGGUGUGAGAGUGGAAAGUUCACACUGUGACGGUAGCUUACCAGAAAGGGACGGCUAACUACGUG